AACAGGAGUGAGGACCCUAGUGGUUGUCGAGUCUCCCCUUCACAUUGUACUUUAAGAAAAUGAGGAGGAAGAGUUCUCUUGUGUCGCAGUGGGUCAAGGAGUGGGGCGGGGGGAAGGCGUGGACACUGCAGUGGUUCAGGUCACUGCUGUGGUUUGGGUUCAAUCCCUGGCCCAGGAACAGCUUCCACAUGCCAUAGGUGCAGCAAAAAAAGAAAGAAAGAGAAAUAGACUUCUCAAUAGAAAUAAGAGAAGCAAAAGACAGUGAUGAAAUGGGCUAAAAGGCGUUCAUUGCCAAUGCAGAGUUCAACACACCAAAAAUACCCUUCAAGAAUGAAGAAAUACAUUUUCAGAUGAUAAAAUCAGUUUAUCACCAAUAAACCUGCCCAAAGGAAAUUCCAAAGAUAAAUCCAAGUUGAUUGAAGUUUAAUGAUGCAAGAAUAAUUGAAGAGCAAAGAAAGUGACAUCUUGUGUAGUUAAAAAUAUUUACAAGAGAACUGAAACACACGACAACACUAGCAUAUAAAUCAUAUAAACUUCAACUGUUUACCCAAGUCCUCACAUCAUCUGAGAGGAGACUAAAUGUAUUAACUCACAUUGGACUCUGAUAGGUCGGCAAUGCAUGGUUUGCUGUAAGUGACCACUAAAGGGUAAAAAUAUAUUACUUUCAACUGACAGUCCAAAAUGGGAUGACGGAGAAAGACAAAAAUCUAGAGGGGGGUGGGACGUAGGACAUUCUAUUAACAUCAAAUAUAAAUGGAACAAGAAUUAUAGGGAGUUCUCAGGUGGCCCAGCAGGUUAAGGAUCUGGCAUUGUCACUGCAGUGGCUCAGGUCAGUGUUGUGGCACAGGUUCGAUCCCUGGCCCGGGAACUUCUGCAUGCUUCACGCAUGGCCAAAAAAAGACAAGAAUUGUCAAACUAAAAUUUUAGAAGUCCAACCAUAUGCUCUUUAUGAGAGAGACAUCUAAAACAUACGGAUACCAGUAGAUUGAAAUAAUGGAAUUAAGUUACGCCGUGGUAGGUAUUAUUACAUAAAACUUAAGGCAGAAUGCAUUACUAAGAGUAAAGGUCAUUGUAUAAUAAAAAUUCCCAAUCACCAGAAGUAUCUACUAAUUCUAGAUUCUACUUACGACUUCAAAACACAUGAAGCAAAAAUUGAUCAUCUACAAGGAGAAAUAUAUAAAUGUACAAUCACGGCGAGAGAUUUUAACACAUUAAAAUCCCGAGGGCAAUCCUUACCUCGUGCAGGAUGAGAACCAAGCAGUAGAAAAAUAAUCACCACGUCACCCUCAAGUGGUGAUUCUACAUGGCUCUUCAGACAGUCCCCAGAAAAGUAAAGCCCAUUUCCUCUCAGCAGAGAUCAGCUCAGUAGAACAUUGAAUUGGAUUGUCUUCCUUCCUUGUCUUGCUCUCCCCAGACCCCGUUCUUUUUCCCUUGGACUCAUCCCAGAGUAAAUUCUUGCAUGCAAAGUACUUCUCUCAACCCUGCUACUUUGUGGACCCAGGCUAAGACACUUGGUGAUACAAGCAGUUCUACAAACAAACCGUCCAAAUGGAUUCUAGUAUUGGACCAACUGGAUCCAGUAAGGAUCCCAGUCAUGUUGGUAAAUGGGGUGACAUUAACCCUUGGCACGCAGCAGCAUCACAGUUGCUGAGGUUUUCACCAGCAGUGAAUUGGAAUGGUGAAUUCGGAAGAUGAGGCAUUGCUUUAUGUAGUGGCAAUUCAUAAAAAAAUACGUGGUCAAUGUUAAUUAUAGGGAAUGUAGAGCUGGCUGACUCUGGUUGCUGGUCUUUAGAAGUCUUGUGAGAGGAGAGGAAAAUGGCAGCUUGAUUGGCCAACUGUCAACCUCAAGGAAUGCUGUGCAACUGGGAAAGUUUCCAGGACAACAGAGAAAUGUCCCUCUCCCCCCAACAGCCCUAGGAAGAUAGUUGCCAUUCAUCCUAGGCUUUAAUUGUGAGUACAGCUUGGUUACCAAGGAGAACACAGCCUUAAGGAGACUCUGAGGUCAGUGUCAGGGCCCAGCUAAGGAAACAGCAGACCUUGAGACAUGGGGUAAGGGUGUUUGAAUGGACAAAUCUGAGACCCUUGAACCCCACAUUCCUCUGAUCCCAGGAACUGUCCCUCCUCCUUCCUGGAGAGGAAUGGUCUUCCCUGGCUGCAGACACUGCGAAGACACCACUAGAGGCAGGAGCUUCACAAGGUGGGGUUCGUCCUAAGAUCUGCCUCUACCUCCUUUGUUUCCUCCAGACCAGCCGUCAAGUCAGGCGCAGCCCAAGCAAGAUGAUCCAGCUCCUCCUUUCGGGAGAUACCGUGUGUACUCAAAGGCUCGAAAGUGUUGGUUAACAGGCGCUAAAGGUGAACCAGAGACCUCAUGUUGGACUGGGUCUUAAGGAGCAGCCAAGGAAAGAUGCCUCCUUGUGUUUCAGUUUCUUCAACUGUCAAAUCUGAUUACGAGUGCCUGUCCAACCUACUUUAUAUACUUAUUAGAGUAAAUGAAGAAAUUAAUAUUAUAGUGAACUCUGCUAGGGACUAUACUAGGCACUUCACAUAAAUUAUUUAAUUAGGAUAAAAUUGGGCAAGUGUAAACACUUAAUCUAGUUCUAAACUUGUUUAGAACACAAACACAACAUUGUAAUCAACUACACACCAAUACAUUUUUUAAAAGAAGACUUAAAUGUGUUAUUUUUAAUAGCAUGCCCUAGGAAAAAUGCAGAUUUGUGAAACCUUGUUGCCUAAAAGGAAAGAAGAAAAGGAAGCCGGUGUUUCAAAAACUCAGACAUAUUAGAAUAUGGCAUUGAGUAAGCUGUUGUCUUGUUUGGGGGAAGGUGGACCAUCUGAAGAGGGCUUUAGGGACAGUUCUAGUCAUUGACCUUGGGAGAAGCAGGGUAGGAACAGUGCUGCUGCGGAAGCUGAGAGAGCAGUUCUGUGUCCAGUGGAGCACAGUGAACUCCUGGGUGGCACCUGUGGUGUCUUGGGUAACGCAUGGCCUCCCACCCAGACUGCCUCGGUUGGAAUCCCAGCUCUGGCGCUCAGCCCACUGGGGGAUAUUGGACAGGUAGUUACAAAACUCCAUUUUAUGGAGUUCCCUGGUGGCACAGCAGGUGAAGAAUUUGACCUUGGUAGUGCUGCAGCUCAGGUCACUGGUGUGGCAUGGGUUCCACCUCUGGCCUGGGAACUUCCGUAUGCCGGGGACACGGC
rnacentral:lncRNA from 1 species